rnacentral:misc_RNA from 1 species
AACGCAAGUUGCGCCCGGAGCCAUCUGGCCGAGGGCACGUCUGCCUGGGCGUCACGCAUCGCUGCCCCCCCCUCGCAACCCCUUCGUCGGUUGCUGCGGGCGGGGGCACACGCUGGCCUCCCGUGCGCACCGUCGCACGGAUGGCUUAAAUCCGAGUCCUCGGCGCCUGUCGUCGCGACGCUACGGUGGUUGAUCAAACCUCGGUACCGCGUCGCGCCCCCAGCCAACGUGCCUCCUCUCGCUCGCGAGGGAAGAGCCGACGAGGCCACUCAGACCGACCCUUCGAACGUCGUCCCGAAAUGGAGGCGAUGCUCUCGACGCGACCCCAGGUCAGGCGGGACUACCCGCUGAGUUUAA